GACGAACCGUCCAAACGUUAUUCGGAAUUACUGGGCUUAAAGGGUGCGUAGGCGGCGCGGAAAGUUGGGUGUGAAAUCCCUCGGCUCAACCGAGGAACUGCGCCCAAUACUACCGUGCUUGAGGGAGAUAGAGGUGAGCGGAACUUAGGGUGGAGCGGUGAAAUGCGUUGAUAUCCUAAGGAACACCGGUGGCGAAAGCGGCUCACUGGGAUCUCUUCUGACGCUGAGGCACGAAAGCUAGGGUAGCGAACGGGG
rnacentral:rRNA from 1 species